CGCGUAGGUAACCUGCCUGGUAGGUGGGGGAUAACUAUUGGAAACGAUAGCUAAUACCGCAUAAUAACAGUUGUUGCAUGACAACUGUUUGAAAGGUGCAAUUGCAUCACUACCAGAUGGACCUGCGUUGUAUUAGCUAGUUGGUGGGGUAACGGCUCACCAAGGCGACGAUACAUAGCCGACCUGAGAGGGUGAUCGGCCACACUGGGACUGAGACACGGCCCAG
rnacentral:rRNA from 1 species